UUUAAUGAACAAAUGUAGCGUGAUCGACACCAAUCAAAGACUUCCGCGAAUCUUAAGUACUAAAUAUUUUAUUUUUGAUAUUAAGGAUUUUUAGGGAUUAUCUUAGGACAUCACAGACACUGUCGUAUAUAUACAAAAAUCCAACUUUUAAGACUUGUUUUAAGUAUCUGUCGUCUACAAUUAAGCUGUGUUUUAUAGAUUUGUUUAAUGCUGUUCAUAUUUGUGUCUAGUGAGAAUUCUACUGCAGAAAGUAUAGUGUAUCAAUAUCGACCCAUCGCUAAUCAUGUAUUAAUGGUUAAAAAGGGUCAUGGCUGCUACGCUUAUAACAGUACCCUGCAAGAGUGACAUGAUAUACACGACCCUGCUGAAAGUAUAUGCACUUGAGGCAAAGAUUAUACUCAUUCUGCAGACACCAACGAAAUAUUUCAGAAACAUCACUAAAGAUGCUUACAAAAACGAUCUCAGAUUUUAUUAUCGUAUAUGCAACCGUGGAAACAAUACAU